rnacentral:rRNA from 1 species
CUGCCCAGUGACUCUGUUUAACGGCCGCGGUACCCUAACCGUGCAAAGGUAGCAUAAUCACUUGCCUAUUAAUUGUAGGCUAGAAUGAACGGAUAAACGAAAUAAAAACUGUCUCUAUUAGAAAACUAUAAAUUAACCUCUGUGUGAAGAUGCCCAGAUUAAGUCAAAGGACAAGAAGACCCUAUAGAGCUUUAUUUUAUUUAUAUAUAAAUUAUAUUAAAAUUCGGUUGGGGCGACCAAGGAAAGCUUAACAUCCUUUAUGUAUAAGAUAUAUAUAUCAAGGCAGUGACCCAUAAAAUGAGCACAAAAACUAGCUACCUUAGGGAUAACAGUCUAAUCCUAUUUCAGAGCUCAUAUCUACAAUAGGGGUUGGCACCUCGAUGUUGGCUUAGGGUAUCAAUAUACAGUAAAAAAUAUAUGAAGAUGGUUUGUUCAACCAAUAAUUCCCU